UUUUAUUAUAACAAAGAUAAAAAAAACAUAGUGUGCUUACUAAUAUAGUAUAUAUUAUUAUUAAGAAAAGAACUGGAGGAAAAAAAAAUCAAUGUUGCUAGGUGAUUUUACUUUGGAACCUUCAGAAAACUUUAACUUGACUUUAAACGGGUGUAGCUCAGUCAUUUUUAUCUGAUUCCAACAAAUCAUACAUCAUUUUGAAGGUCUUAAAAUAAAAUAACUCAUUUAGCCAGCACAGGUCAUGUUUUAUCAUUGAGACACUAUUAUAAUUUUUAUGAAUAGUUAGAAUUUUUUAUUUUUAGAUUUUCUCAUUUCAUUUUACUAUUUACAUUUUUGUAGCAUGUUUUUAUCAUUUUUAUUAGUUUUUUGAAUGUCUGUGAUGUUCUUGUUAUUUUACUCAUUUUAGUGUUACUCUUUUUACUACAUCAAGCUUAAAUGUGAAAUAUUUCCUCUUUCUCCUUCAUCUAGUUUUUUUAAGAGCUCUUAGAAGUCCUGACAUAUCAAUUGUCAAACUUUCUACAGGUUACAAUGAUGAGCUGGGAGACUUUUAUUCUGAAAUUAGAGACCCAGCAUUAGAACAUUCUCAACCUUUGGCUUUACCUCAAAGGGUUUUGAUUCACAGUCAGCUCAAGCCAUGCAACGAUGGACGGAUAAACAGAAUAAGUGCUAAUAAAGCCAGUCUUUAUACUGCCCAUGCAAACCCAGAGCACAGUGCUGACUCUGAUCAUCUCUGGUCUGGUUCUCUUGAUGUGACCUUUGACCUGGGAGUAAAUGAUUGGGAUGAUUUUGAUGAUGGUAACCUGGUUGAAGCUAGUGAGGUGUGCUGUGAUUCCCAACUAUGUGACCCAAUGACAGACCAUGUUCAACCUUCAAAUGCUGGAGGUUUGGCUUCAGCCUCACAAUGUAGAGCCCAAACCAUACAAGGAACUGCAAGUCCUGUCUUGCCACAAAGGAUCCAACCAAUGGCUGCUACCUCUCAAACUCCAGUGUGCUCAGAAAUGAGUAUGAAGUCCCUUUCAAACCAGAGUCAAGCCAAAACAUCUUCAGUCCAAAGAAGAUUUGAUUUUAUCACAUGGACAGAUGCAGCUUUGAAGGAAAACUCACCUGUUAGCAGGGAUCACACAAAGGACAUCUGCAAUGAGACCAGUGUUUUUCUGGGUAUGUUCGAUGGCCUUUUUUAG
rnacentral:lncRNA from 12 species